rnacentral:rRNA from 1 species
CACGUGGGUGACCUACCCUUAGGAUGGGGAUAGCCACUAGAAAUAGUGGGUAAUACCGAAUGUGGUUACCGGCGUGUGGUAAAGAAGGAGCUUGGCUCCGCCUGAGGAUGGGCCCGCGUCCCAUUAGCUAGUUGGUGAGGUAACGGCCCACCAAGGCGAUGAUGGGUAGCCGGCCUGAGAGGGUGAACGGCCACACUGGGACUGAGAUACGGCCAGACUCCUACGGGAGGCAGCAGCUAAGAAUAUUCCGAAUGGACGAAAGUUGACGGAGCGACGCCGCGUGGAUGACGAAGGCGAAAGGUUGUAAAAUCCUUUUG